CCUGGUGGUCAUGGCGGGGUGGCUGCACCCGUUCCCUUUCCGAACACGGCCGUGAAACGCCCCAGCGCCUAUGGUACUUCGUCUUAAGACGCGGGAGAGUCGGUCGCUGCCAGGU
rnacentral:rRNA from 5 species